UCCUCAGCAAAAAAGAGGAGGAUUGGCAGCAGAAGUUAGCUCAGGGCUAAUCUUCCACAAAACAAACAAAAAAUUGAUAACUUGAUGUAUUAAUCUGUCACAAUAUAGCCUUUUGAUGAUUAUCAGCCACCAUCAUCAUCUACAUCCAUAUGGCCAUGAGCAGCAAACUGUUCCAAGUCUUCUGCGGUUAGAUCAUCAGGUUGGGACCCUAGAAGCUCUUCAACAUCUUCAUUUUCUACCUCCUCAAAUCCAACCUGUUCUCCUAAAUCAACACAUCUUGUUUUGAUUUUCAAAAGUUUCUCUGAAGGAUCACAUCCUUCAAAACUACACAUCAAGAGGAAUUUUCCAUGAUACACAACGCAAGCGCUCUGGUCCUAUCACUCCAGGCUUCUGCAGUGGCAGCAACAGCCAUUCCUACGUUAAAUCUCUCCCAAAAUUCCGUAACUGUAUUGGCAUCCUCACCUUCAAUAACAGCAAUGAGCACCUUAAAUGGCCACUUUCAACAGUAAGCCAUAAAUACUACUAUCACCUUUUUAUCAAGGGGCUGUCUGCAAAGGUGGUUUUCAAGGGAAAAAAAGGAAAAAAGGGAAGAAAAAGUUUGGGUUUAGCUUUUAUAGAGGGCUAGGCUUGAUGAAUUAUGAGAAUUUUAAAAGCUAAGUUUUAUGGAAAAACACAUAGGGUUUUUUUUUUCAAUAACCCUCUACAACAGAGAAGAAUUAAGUAACAACAUCAGUGCAGAUUUGGGCAGGCCAUCCAUUUUUGCUAUACCUGUAGCGAACUCCAAGGCUGACUGAGAAUUUCUUUUAAAAGGCUCAGUUUGAUCUGAGUCUUUUGAUGCAUGCAUUCAUAACAGAUACCUGUUCCAUCAAGACUGAGAAUUUAAUUCAGUGUGUGGCCGCCUUCUUCAGUUUGCUUCUUACCACUGCUGGAAAAUUCUUCUGCAGCUUUCCCAUCUGCACUCAUAGCUUCAUGUGACAGUUGAUGGCUUAGGAAUUUACAGCAUUGUUUGAAACCACUAACGCAACCAUUACCGGCACUAAAAGAGGAUUGAUCAUCAUUAAAUUCAUCUUCCUCAUACGGCUCUGAAGAAGAAGAUAAUUUUCUUUUCCUGGGUCCACCACCUUCUAAAACAGAGGAGGACACUCAAUGUUUGCACAGAUAUCAUAAGAAUCAUUAAUGCAAUACAAAGGCAGAAUGUUAUAAUGAGUACAUCUGUAGACAGUUCUCUUGACAUCAAGCCCAAUGUCAUUUCCUCUACAUGUAGCAUAUACUCAAUAAAUGUCAAGUGAAUUGAAGAAAAAGUGAACAGAGACUCUUUUUCAGUCUUUCAAAAGUAGAAAUCACUGUAAAAACGUAUCUGUAAACCAUCACAUUAUUCAAUGCUGAAAAUAUACAUCUCUAAACUGACUAGUAAUUUUACAGAACAACACUGGGAGGAAGGGGUUCUGCCCAGUGACUGAGCGUUCAGCAGUGAAAAAGCAGAGCCCCAUCACUGUGGUUAUCUGAAUACAUUACUGACGCCAAUCAUUGUGUCUACUACGGACCAGGCUUUGCAGAAGGCGUUUUUAACUGUUGUUUCAUUUAGAUUCCACAACGAACCUACAAAGUAGGUAAUAUUCUCAUUUUCUAAAUGAGGAGGAACCGAGAUAUUGAGAGCUCAAGCGAGUCACGCUCUUAACCUAAAAAUAAGAGAGUACAACGGCAAUAGGAAAUUUGCAUAUUUUGUCACGGCUGAAAGAAAAACUCAAUUUACAUAUCUUAAGCAGUUAUGUAACAUAUUUAUACUUUGUACACAUUUAUCUAUUUCUUAAAUACUUUCACUUUCAGAGAGCAAAUUCCAGAGAUAUAUUGCUGUGCUAGUAUGAAAGCAUCUGCUAUAUGUAUAUGGUGAUGGAUGGCAAUUAGUUUUUAGGUGGUGAACAUGAUGUAAUAUAUACAGAAACUGAAAUAUAAUGAUGUACACCUGAAAAAAAGAAUAAAAAAUAAGUCCAAAUGCAAAAAAAAAGUUACCAGAAUACGUAAGAUCUAAAUGGUAAAGGAAAAGGGCACCUCUGCCUGGUGGUGUGUGCUUUCACACUCAAAGUAAUGAAUGAGGCAACAUGCUACAAUUCAAAGUGACUGAGAUCGUAGGAUCAAAACCUCAUGGGUUUGAAUCCAAGCACCAUCACUUAGUGUGUGACUUUAGCAGAAUUAUCUAAUUUAUCUAAGCCCUAAUAUAUUCAUCUGUAAAAUUCUGAAUAAUGACAGCUAUUUCACAGACAUCUUGUGAUAAUUAAAAGACACAAUAAAUAAGAAUGUAGUUGGCAUAUAAGUAGAUAAUACAUAAUUAUUUUCUUCCCCCCCAAAAAGAAAGCAUCUGCUAAAGCUUAUAAUGGUUUCAGAUUUCAGUAUUAAUUAUAUUAGUCCUCUAUGCAAUUAGAAAUAAAAUGUGUAGAAAUAGAAUAUUCAAAAUGAAUACAAACAUGACACCUUUUAAGUUGUAAGCCUAAAAAUUUCAUAAUAUGGCUAUAAUGAAAUUAAAUGCCAUUAAUAUUUUAUAGUAAUUACACGUUAGUAUGAAUGCUUAAAUUUUUUUCUCCCAAUUUGCUUCAUAAAGUAAAUGUUCAUUCUACAUAUGCCAACUAAUUUCCAGCAUCUGCUUUAAAAAGGGCUAAAUAUAAGCACCAUUCCACCAUCACCUAUAUGAUCAGCACCAUCCCAUCAUCACCUAUCUAUUUGCUGAGGACAGGUGAGUACUGCUCGUAAAUAAGUCUGAGAAAAGCUUCAAACUAGAAGAUUUAUGCCAUGUCACCAAGCCAUGUUUAAUUCUUUCCUAAAAGGAACAAGAGCUUUGCUUUGUCAAUAAAAAACUCUCGAGUUUUAGUUAUCUGCUUAUACAUGGUUUUUGUUUUGUUAAUAUUAUGUCAUCAAAUCUUCACACAGAUAUGAAAUGGCUACAAGGCAAAAAUCUGCAAAUAAAUGUGGGAGAAAAUGUACAACUAAAAUUUUAGUACAAAAGGUUACAUAAGAGCACACAAUGCUCAGUUAUCUACAUCUAAAUCUAUUCUACUUAUAAUUAUCAAUUAAAAAUUUUGCAUAUAUCUAAAGAAAACAAGUUAAUAUUCUACACUAAAUACCACUUCUAAAUUAUGUAUUUCACAAAUUCUCAUCUUUUAUUGGGAAUCCCCAUCAUCAAUUUCAGGGGGAAAAAAAAACUAAGUUAGGGAUGUAUCUCACACUCCAGAUAAAAAUAAAUUUCACCUAAAUACAAUAGUCAAAAAUGAAAAAUAAAACAUGAAAUUAAAGAAAAUAUGA